UUUUUGUUUCCCAGAAAUAAGUACUUAUUUUACCUUUUUUCCUUUACAAGGGAAUUUUACAUAUUUAACUACACGCUUACUUAUUUACAAUCACCAUACGUACUCAUGCAGACCAUACGUACUCAUGCAGGCCAUACAAAAUCUCCUCAUAAUUUAAAACCCAAUAAAUAAUUUUCCCGUGGUUAAGCCUCAUGUCAACCUGAACUCAGAAGUUGGAUUUUUCACCUAGUCAUCUGAUAUCCCUUUCUCAAUCUCUUCUGCUUCUUUGUUUCCCUUCUCAGUUGGACCAACAUCACUGGCUACCAUAGAAGGACGUGCUUUAAAAUCCUCCUGCUUUGCCAC
rnacentral:misc_RNA from 1 species